GGUGGCGGCCGGCGCAGCCCGGCGGCGGCAGCCGGGGGCAGCGGGGCUGGGCGGGCUGAGCCACCCCUCACGCCCCGCCGUGCACUAAGGAGGAGGGCAGGGAGGAGGCGGUUUGACUUUAUCCCUGCCGUGAUGCCGUGGGGGAGCCCCCCCCCCCCCCCCGCCUUCCUCCUCGCCCUCGCCGGGCUGGCUACGGAGCCGGUGCGGGUUUUGGCCUCUUAGUCAAACCCCGCCGUAACCUCGGCUGCCCUUGGGCCGGGGGGGGAAGGCGGUGAUUCACGUCCCGCCGCUGGCUGCGAGGGCCGGGAGCGGGGCAGGAGCCCGCCGGCGGCGCGCGGUGCCCCCCCGCCUGCUCCGCUCUGGGACGGACGGCAGCCCGGGGGGAAGCAGCCGAGCGGAGCAUGCAGAAGGGCUGCGAAGGUUACAUUCAAUGUUCUGCCUUUUCUCCAGAUGGAAAAAUAAACUGGCAAACAAGCAGGAUCUUCCUUCACAGAUGAAGAGGAGCCAGGAGAAUGGACUGAAAGUUAACAAACACCCUUCCAUGUAGAAAACGGAGUGCACAAGCCUUUCCUCCUCAUGCCAGCAUCAGCAGGGGCAGCGUGCUGUUUCCCCUGUUCCAGGACCCUCUGCCAUGCUUAUCUUAAUGUUCCCACCUCAAACCGACAACUCCACUGCUUUUCAAAAACUAGCCCUAUGUUGACUGCAGGCUGUAGUGCCAUACUAUCAGCAUACUGCACUUUCAGGCGGCUCUGUCUUGAAAAUUGUGAAGUGCUUCCUAAGUAUUAUACUAUUGUUGUUGUACUGUUAUUUUGCAGAGUCCUUAGCAUCAGGAUAUCCUGACUCUUGGAACAAAGGGGUUAAGAACAAAGAAAACAAAUAGAUGAUGUGCAGUACAGUAGCGCAGCGAUUAACACAUUCAUACAAUCUAUGCUUAUAAUUUUGUGGAAAGGGAAAUUUACUGGUUUUUAAGUUUAUAUGGCUUCUUGUGAUAUUUUAGGUUUUUCAUAUUAGUGCAUGUUGUGCAAUUUCUCUUUAAAGCAAUGUUGUUCCUGUUAGAAAGGGAUAAAUAGGCAACUGAAGUCCAAAAGUCUUAGAAGACUACUUGCCUACUGGGCGAGUUAAACCUUACACCCCAACUACUUCAUUUUGGUUUUGAGCUACCAGGACUUGCAGUAACUUUUUUUUCAGUUAUUGUUUUUCCUCUUUGUUUACCUCUGCACUUCCUGCUCCCCGCUGGGGCAAAGAGCAAGCAGAAAUGCCAGAGCACUGUGAAAGAAAGGCUAUCCUUGUGGCAUUUCCAGCUUCACUAGAUGCAAAAAAAUACCAGACAUCUUGGAAGAGAAUGUAUUCACAGAUGCCCAGCCCAAUUUUUAGAUGAAUAUCUGAAUAUUUAAGUGCUUAACAGAACUUAGCCACCAACCCUCUUGAUAGCAGCGGUAGCAAUCUUCUGAGUUUUCAAAACCUACACUACCUUUUUAUAUCCUUGGAACUGUGAAAAGUUUUGUGCCACCUGUAGUUGGGUCACUUGGAUAUGUACCUGCCUUGUGGAUAGGAUCAGGCAGUCAGAAUCGAAUCAUUAAUUGCUGUAUUUGUUUUCGCUUACAGUUCUACAGGUGCAAAGCAGGAGGACAGUCAAAAAGCAAACAGAAACUGAGGUCUGUUUUUGUUAUAGUUUUAGUAUUUCAAGAAGCUAUGUAAUAAACCUAACAGACAGUAUUUUUUUUUUCUGGGAAAGUUAGUGUCGAAAGCAACUGCUCUAGGUAGCCUGGAGUUUCUUUUUUUCCCUGCUUUCUGGACAGUUUAAGGAUCAGGAGUUGCAAAUGAAAAAAAAAAAAAAAAAAAGUUGUGUAAAAAGUGUUGCCUGGCAUUGACGGGUAUGUCUGUAAAUUAAUACAUCUUAUUCUUACUAAACUUGUGCUUCACAAUUGUACUACAAUUCAGUGAUUACUUAUCCUUAAUUCAUCCAAGAUUUUGCUGUUACUGAUUGACUUUCCUUUUGUCUGUUUUGUUAUAAGAAUGGAGCCACAUAAGAGCUGCUUGCAGGAAAGCCUGGCAGAUACAUAUUUGAUUAUGAGGUUUUCAGCAUCAAAAAUCAGCUGUAGCAUCACUCUCAGAGACUUCUAAGAGACAAAAUGCUCAGAUUUUACAAGUUCUCUGUUUCUCUGACUUCAGUUGUGCUGUGAUGAUUUACCCAACUUGAAGAUGUGACCUCAACAUAACACUUUUCAUUGUGCUUGAGAAAAGCCAUCAGAAUUAAAACAUAACACAGUCCUACACAGCAGUGUACCCCGCCAUUUGUGACUGCAUUUUAAACAGUCCUUAAGCAAGAUCGGCUCACCUAAAACUUGUCUUUUGCAUUCUUGCUUCCAGCCAGACUUGAAGGAAAUCUUUCAACAGAGAUGGAUGGCUUUAUUGCUACUAACUGCAUUUCUCUCCGACUCCGAGUCAAAGAAGCUUAAGUGAUUACAAGAGAAAUGUAAAUGUAAAUGUAUUAGCUCUGGCCUUCAUUCAUCCUGAGAAGCAAUGCCAACGAAAAGGCGAACGGAGUGAUCUGAAAACCUGACAAGGCAGUGCGUAUUUUCACAGGUAGACACGAGAACUGGGAAAGACUUGAGGAAAGGAAUACUGUGGUGGGAGAAAAGGGAAGGGAGAAGCUGACAGAUUAAUAGCUGGUGUUUCAUAAUUGGUGUCUCUUAAAAAGUUUUACUUGUUUGCUUAUUCACUCCAAAGUUAUGUACUAAGAGCAGCAGCAGCAGAAUUGCAUGCCAGAUGGUAGAGGAAGUGCCUCGUGUAUCUUUCCAGUCUACUGAAGCCUGCAGGGCCGUUGUUAACCCACUGCUCUGGUUUUCAUUGCAAGUCCCUUUCUUCCCCUUUUUUCUUUUCCUUCCUUCAAAGAAAAAGGAGGGAGGGGGAAAGAGAAAAAAAAAAGAAAACCCAUGGUUUAAACUGGCAAUAGCACCAUCCUUUUGGCUUUGAGCUACCCUGUCCUGUGCCAAAUAUACUGUCUCCAGCAGCUCUCCCACAACAAAUCAGUCCAGACACACAAAAGCUGUAAAAAAAGAAUGGUGAAGAAAGAUCCUUGAUUCUCCCCCGCCACCCCCCCCCCAGCCUUUUCCUUUUGCUUUCCUCCCCGAGCUUCAUUCCCCAGCAAUGACCUCCUGCUUGCCAGUACUCUUAAAUGAUACUGGGACCUCCAGCCUGCAACUUUGCUGACAGCUUCCUUAGAGCAGAGGCAUCUUUGCCUUUCUGUAUUAACAGAGUAUUGUAAAGGAGAAGUUAUAUUCUAUUAUUCCUCUCACUUCUAUCUGAUAGCCGAUGUUUGAAAAAAAAUGGCUCAUGAAUUAGUAGAGUGGCAGAUUCAUUACUAUUGGAAACUCUGUCUAUUCUUCCAGCUAACCCACAUCACUGCAUUGUGGCACAACUUACUAAGAUUACAUUUCCAAACAGACACCUGAAAAGAUUUGACAUUGUCUGUUUAUACAGUAAAUUAUUAAACAAAAAAAAAAUUGGAAAAAGACUAGCAAAUUUUUUAAGUGAUUAGCAAACGUUAAAUAACUCCAACUGUAGGGACCAGUUUCAAAGACUAUCAGAUACCAAUUUUUAGAAAUUGUAAAGCAUGCGUCUUUAGACAGCGCUUAUUAGCAGAACCAUCUUAAAUCAGUAGUGACUUAUGAAAAGUAUGCCUUUGCCUCUGUCCUAGGGGUCACAGAGUCACGCAGAGACAAUAGGCUGGGCCAUGGCCUAGGGUCAGAACCAAGUGAUGACACCAUCACUGGGAUCAAGUUUUAGAAGGCUUCAGGGGUGUGAUGUGAUUUUAAGAUAAAAGAGAAGAUGGUGAUUGCUGGGGGGCAGUCCUUACACAUAAAGUGGAAAAAAAAAAAAAAAAAAAGCGCUGCACAUUUGCAGGGCAGCCUAAAAGGAGCAGUAGAGAAAACAAGAAUGUGAGUGAGUAACUUUUAGAAGGGACAAGGGUAACAGAGUGCCUGAGAAAGUUGGAGAAUAUGACAGAAGAAACAUAAGCAGGUAGAGUUAUGCAGAGCUUGCAAGAAUUUUUCUAAUGACCUCCUGGAAGGUUUCUUUGAUUGGUUUAAAAAUCUUAGUAUAAUUUUCUUAUUCUUUGCCCCACAUUUGUCUUGUUCCAGGUGUCUAUUAUUUUUUAUUUUAUUCUUACUAAUAAGAACAAUUACUCUUAGUUAUCUCUAUCAUUGUCAUUACUUUAUUAAAUAUGAAUAAUUUUAUAUUUAUUUGGGGACAGUUACUAUGUCUUUGCUCUAGACUGCACAUACUGAAUUCUAUAAACUCUAUCUCAGAACUUUUUUCCCAAUCCUGACAUUAUUUUAAUGUUUUUACUAUGAAUUCUCAUCAAUGUACUAACAUUUUUUUGGAUGCAUACUCAAGGUACAUAGUAGGAGACUUUUUUAUCUGCUACCAUCCCACUGUCAAGAGAUGUUGAAAUGAAUUUCUAAGAGAAUGGUAGGAUGUACUAUUUGUUGUUGCCUAAGCUGCACAUAGCAUCACUCCUUGGGAGUCUCACCUAAUGGGAAAUGUUGAAGACAGGCAGUGGUGUUCUGUGGCUUCACGGUAAUCAUUUAGUUGUUGUCAUCAGUCAAUCAGACUCCUUGGGAAAAGGUUCUGGAAAUGGAGGAGUGAGGAUUGCUUGAGUUCUGUAGGGCAAGGAGCCAGUUCCUUUUUCAUUCUUAGAACAUGUGAGAUAGAUAGCACAUUUUUAUGAUUAACAAUUUGUACUACUAACUAAGCAAAAAUGCUUGUGGUAAAGGAAUAAACAGAAGUCCAUAACUAA